AUUGAACGCUAGCGGGAUGCUUUACACAUGCAAGUCGAACGGCAGCGCGGACUUCGGUCUGGCGGCGAGUGGCGAACGGGUGAGUAAUGUAUCGGAACGUGCCCAGUAGCGGGGGAUAACUACGCGAAAGCGUAGCUAAUACCGCAUACGCCCUACGGGGGAAAGGGGGGGAUCGCAAGACCUCUCACUAUUGGAGCGGCCGAUAUCGGAUUAGCUAGUUGGUGAGGUAAAGGCUCACCAGGGCGACGAUCCGUAGCUGGUUUGAGAGGACGACCAGCCACACUGGGACUGAGACACGGCCCAGACUCCUACGGGAGGCAGCAGUGGGGGAUUUUGGACAAUGGGGGCAACCCUGAUCCAGCCAUCCCGCGUGUGCGAUGAAGGCCUUCGGGUUGUAAAGCACUUUUGGCAGGGAAGAAAAGUUUCGGGCUAAUACCCUGGAGCGAUGACGGUACCUGCAGAAUAAGCACCGGCUAACUACGUGCCAGCCGCCGCCGUAA
rnacentral:rRNA from 1 species